UACGGAAGGUGCAAGCGUUAUCCGGAAUCACUGGGUUUAAAGGGUGCGUAGGCGGCAUAGUAAGUCAGAGGUGAAAUGUCUGGGCUCAACCGAGGCACUGCCUUUGAUACUGCUAAGCUAGAAUCAAGUUGAGGUAGGCGGAAUGUGACAUGUAGCGGUGAAAUGCAUAGAUAUGUCAUAGAACACCAAUUGCGUAGGCAGCUUACUGGGCUUGUAUUGACGCUGAGGCACGAAAGCGUGGGGAGCGAACAGG
rnacentral:rRNA from 1 species